CCCUUAAAGCAAAAGUUACUAACAAAUAAUGAGAUAUACCGAGGUGCUAUCUAAAAUAGUUUGUAUUUUCGCAAAUUGGUAUUUGGUAUAUUGGUAUUGCCAAGGCUGUAAACCCAUAUUAGUUUGGCUUUGGUUCGGUUUGUUGCUCGAAUGUUAACGAUUUAUGAUAGGCUUACGGUGGGUUUGCAAAGCCGAAACGAUGUUUCGGUCCGAAUCAGGACCGAAUUAAUUUAGAAAAUUAAAUUUAGCUUCUUUUAUAAUUAUUCUUUUACAUUUGUUUAUAUUUUCGCCGUCGUCUUCUUGUUCAGACCGUUUUUAUGUAGAAAUGGGCUUAUUGUUUUUACAAACUCGUACACCCCAAGUAUUAAACCAUUGUCACCGUAAUAAAGUAUUUAAUUUUUUCUGCAACCAACCCGGUUUAAAAAAAGGGACCCGAUUCGUUUACAAAAUCAGUCGGUGCUCUGUUUAAUGGUCUGGUUUGUUUUAUAAAAAAUUAGAACCACUCCAAACCGAAGAAGUCGAGCGUGUGAUUUCGAUCUCAUGUCUAACAAUCUUUCCUUUUUAAAAUAUGCUAAUACCAAUAUAUAUAAUAUAUUUUUUACAUCUUAAACUAUUAAAGAUCAAAGUGUUAGUAAGGUUGCUUUUUCUGACGUCAAGCCAACCCAACAAAAAAUGUUGUCCGAUAUGGUACUCAUUUUUUUAAUACACCCACUUAUUUCAGAAGACUUAAAAAUCUAGUCCUUGGUUUUGUGAAUGUCCCCUUUUAACAGUGUUAGAAUUCUCUAUUAUUUUUUUGUAAUCGAUUAGUUAGUAUAGUCUAUAGAGAAUCCAAGGGAAUUUAUGAACAUAUCAACUAUGUAAAAUGAAAAUUUUAUUUCUGACUGGGUUUAUGUUAUAGGAAGUAUGAAGGAAUACAAAGAAAAAGUUAAAGCUUUUUACAAAGAAAAAGUUAAAGCUUUUUAUUUGUAUCUUGUAUCUUGAUUUUACUAUUAUUCAUUGUAAUACUAUGAAAUACGAUAAUAAAAAUGCCUCUAAGAUAUUUUUUAACUGUCCUCGUGCACAGAUUGAAAAAACACACAUAUUAAAAGUAAUUUCUUAAAUCGUGUAAAAUUUGUUUGGUUAUCGUUAUUUUUGGAACAGUUAUAUAAAUUUUGGCUAGUUUAGCAGUUUCAAAAUUUUUGGUUAUACCAAAAAAAAUAAUUUAUUCAUCCCAACAGAUCGACAAAUACACGACUAUUUGCAUAUUAUAUACGGGCUGUAAGGUUUUAUUAGUCAUUAAAAGAUGUGGCUAAUCGAAUUAUAUCGAUUACAAGUUUUAUUUCUGCCAUUUCGUUCCUGAUAUCAUUUUUGUAUUAAGUGCACUAUGCAGUUUUGCAUGCAAACGGAGUAUCCCAACUUACACUUACUCAAGUUUCUACUUCUCUACUUAUUCACAAAGUACAAAUGUACAGUAUUUCUUUUUUUAUAUAAUGGUAUUGUUACUAUAAACUUAAUAAAAAUAACUCUGAAAUAAGCUAAUAAAAUUAUAUUAAUGAACAAUAACAACGGUUUACAGGUAGCACCAAAAUGUAUAGUUAUAUUAAAAUUGACUACAAUCCUUAAAAUAUAGUUAAAGGAUAGGCAUUAUAUUUGAAAAAAUGCGUUAACUUAAAAAGUACAUGAAAAUCAAAGUAUCCAGUUGCCAUAUAUUUUUCACAAGGCGUUGUUAUAUUCUACCGCUGUUAAGAGUUCUAUGUGUAUGAGUAUAUAAAUGGUCUUAUAAAUUAGUGUAUCUCUUAACCAUAUGACAAAUAAACAGUAAAAUGUUUUAUGAAUAGGCAUAGAGAUAAUAAAUCUAUGAUCUUUUACACAAAUCUUCUUUUUCUACGCAUCAUACAUUCAUAUUUAUGUAUAUACAUAUAUACCAGUCUAUACAUUUUACUUGAUCAUUUUUUAUUAUUAUACAAUUAUUGAUUGAUCCGUUUUAAAUUUUGAUUAUCGUUUGUUUCAAAAGUAAUUAUGAGAUAUUUGUUAUUAAUUUUUGUAAUUUAAAGCUGGCGGAACCAAUACGAGAGACUGAGGUGUAAUUGACAGUUGCAAUAAAAUAUCAACAAGCUCUGCAUAAAUGUAACAUUAAAACUAAUCAGCAAUUAUCCUCGCAAGGUCGAACACUGAUCUAAGUGUUAUGAAAUAUCUGUUUUACUUUACCUUUUUAAAAAGUAAAUUGAUUACAUUUUCUUAUGUUCAUUUUAUGUUUAAAUUUAGACAACAACAAAGUAGAACGUAAUGAUAAAUAACGCAAUAGUAAAAUUGUAUAGGACCUUAAACUCUUGCACCGAUAAAAUAGUCUCGCAGAUAGAAUGUGUAACUUUAUAUUUAGUUACAUAUAAAUUUCUUAAAUGUUUGUUCUCUGAAACUGCGUAUGCUUCAGUUACUAAUUUAAACUACAAAAUUCAACUACAACAGCAACAUCGGGCUAAAAGUGUCUUCUGCUCUGCAUCAAGUUCUGUAUGCUUACUACCUUUUCUCUGAUUUCUACUAAACUUUUUUCUACAACUACAAUAUAUUCAAAACAAAAGCUAAUCCAACUCGAAACUUCUAAAUGGGCAUUCAAACGUAAUAGGCGGCGAAUUGCAAGAACGCUUGAUACCGGUCCCAUAUAGCAAGAGCAACACUGAUCAAGCUAUACGAGUGGUAAACGCAUUCCGCCAGGGUCUGGACGCCCGUUACGGUGAUCACACCAACACAUCCCUGGCAGAGGUAUUGCGUAAGCAGACUUCGUUGAGCAAACGCCUUUCGGAAACGUCUUCCAUUGAGUAUGCCGAUAAUAUACCUGAUGAGCUGACCAUACCCGAAAUUGAUGUCGAACGUCUAUCAUCCCACAGUCAUACUGAAACUGCAGUUUAAAGUUCAGUGGAAUCCAUAUCCAUAUGAAAACAAACCGCACACAUUCUAAGAAAUAACAAUUCUAAGAAAUCCCUAGUACAGCUUAAGUGCUUUAGAAUUUUUAUAAAAAGGUUUUGUUCAAGAUAACAGCAAAUGUAGCUGUGAAUUGGUUAAAGAGCAUUUUGUAAUUCAGCAAAAAAAAUCCGUAACGAAAACGUAAAUUUCCGAUAUCUUUUGUUAGUAUGUGUGCUAACAAAAUACAAAAAGUACUUAAUAUAAAUAUAACUGUAAUGCAAGGGCAUACAUACAUUGAUUAUAACCACCUUUAACUCGAAAUGUAAGCGGAUCGGUUUUGUCUCGCACACUGAAGCCAUUAAUUAAUAUUUUAUCGUAUUUAAUGUAAUAAAUGAUUAAAUGAAUAAA
rnacentral:sRNA from 13 species